UACGUAGGGGGCGAGCGUUAUCCGGAAUUAUUGGGCGUAAAGAGUACGUAGGUGGUUUGGAAAGCGUGUGGUGAAAUUGCGGGGCUUAACCCCGUCCAGCCAUGCGAACUUUCAGACUUGAGUGCAGGAGAGGGAAGUGGAAUUCCUAGUGUAGCGGUGAAAUGCGUAGAUAUUAGGAGGAACAUCAGUGGCGAAGGCGACUUCCUGGACUGUAACUGACACUGAGGUACGAAAGCGUGGGUAGCAAACAGGAUUAGAUACCC
rnacentral:rRNA from 1 species